AUUCAAAACAGUUCCUAUCCAAUAGAAGUGACUUAAAGUUGCAAAGACCACUGGAGUCACAUCUGGAUUUCUGACAUAUUUUGUCUAUCUCUUCACCUGUCUUCUUCCUGUCAGUCUGCCUUCAACUGUCCUGCUGCUCAAUUUCCAGCUGAAGUUAUAAUCCUCUGUUUGGGAUACCACGGCUGAUUACUGCAGAAAUGACUGUAAUACUCAUUAUACACCAUUUGUUGGAAGAGUGGAAAGAAGCCUGUGAUUAAGGAGAAAUUGGCUUGGAUUUCGCUUCAAAUGUCUACUCCAUCACUGUAUCCACGCAUAUCCACUGAGCCCCUAAUAUGGAACGCUGGAAAGGACAAGACAGAAACAAAAUGUCCUGCAAGACACAGUUUGCAAACUCUUCCUUGUUUGCUGCAACUGUCUGUUUUUAAAUAAUGCACAAAUCAACUUCACUGCCACAGAAAUAAUCAACACAGGAUCAAAACCUGGAGUUCCUAGUAGUGCACAAAUCAAAAGCUGUAGGAAUCCAA